UUUCCGGUUCCGAUGCCGAAGUUCUGAUCCUGUGCUCCGUGAUACACAGCCAACCAGUCAUAAUUGCAUCAUUUGCAUCAUAGCAUGUUUAUUUUCAAAAAAAUAAUGCAAAAAAAAUGAAAAAAAAGGAAAAAAGAAAAAACUAACUUGUACAUGCAUAUCAUUUCUCAGGUUCAAUCAGGAGUCUGUUCACAGUGAGAGAUGACAGGCAUUCCAGAGUUAAAGAGGAA
rnacentral:lncRNA from 1 species